GGGAAGAGAGAUAACAUAUACAAUUUGUAAAGGCUUCACUUAAAAGUCCAACCUAAGGACUUUAAAAGAUACUUCCACUUUGCAGAAAAUAAAGGCACAGUGUCAAUACAUAAACGUGAGGACUGAUGGCUGGAAAAAACGUGAAAGAAUACGUCCCAGAAGGGGAAAUGGACAGCUCCAGCCCAGCUUGCUUUCAGCUGUGUCCUACACUGACAACACUCAGGAAGGCUCCUGAACCCACGCAGGUCAGAAGGAGAUGACCCACAUGUCUGUGCAUUCUCCAGGGUACUUCAGGCAGUGUGACAUGCUCAUCAGUACCAAGGGGGAUGUUCUGUGAGCUGCUGAGGGUGUCCUGCAGCUCUGUGGUGGCUCACAAACAGGUUAACAUCUGUGCAAGAG